rnacentral:rRNA from 1 species
UACGUAGGCAGCAAGCGUUGUCCGGAAUCAUUGGGCGUAAAGAGCGUGUAGGCGGUUCGGUAAGUCCGCUGUGAAAGUCCAGGGCUCAACCCUGGAAUGCCGGUGGAUACUGCCGGGCUAGAGUCCGGAAGAGGCGAGUGGAAUUCCUGGUGUAGCGGUGAAAUGCGCAGAUAUCAGGAGGAACACCGAUGGCGAAGGCAGCUCGCUGGGACGGUACUGACGCUGAGACGCGAAAGCGUGGGGAGCAAACAGG